rnacentral:rRNA from 1 species
UACGUAGGUGGCGAGCGUUGUUCGGAUUUACUGGGCGUAAAGGGAGCGUAGGCGGAUUUUUAAGUGAGAUGUGAAAUACUCGGGCUCAACUUGAGUGCUGCAUUUCAAACUGGAAGUCUAGAGUGCAGGAGAGGAGAAUGGAAUUCCUAGUGUAGCGGUGAAAUGCGUAGAGAUUAGGAAGAACACCAGUGGCGAAGGCGAUUCUCUGGACUGUAACUGACGCUGAGGCUCGAAAGCGUGGGGAGCAAACAGG